AUGAGGUUGUGGCGCCCGGCGGGAGGCGGCCGCCAGACUGACAUCAGGCCUGCACCAGCCGGCAGCUCGCUCCGCCUGCCCGCGUCCCCGCGGCCCGGAUGGGCCAGCAGCCUGCAGCCCGGCCCCUGGGGAGCCCCCGCCGGCCACUGCUCUCAAGACUGGGACAGCUGCCUCUUCCCGCCCCCAGGCCUCCAAGGAGCCCUCCCAGAGGCCGCGGAAGCCCCGCCUGCUUCAGCAGGCCUGCGCACCUGGCUGAUGGCACCUGCAGAGAGCCUUAAGCGGACCCAGCCCCAGGCCGGGCCCCGGAAGCCUCUUCAGCCGCCCAGGCCCCCAGGACUGCCCCAAAGGAGUCACCUGGGGUCGGCAGAGGAGCCUGCCCAGGAGCACAGGGCCCCCGAGUGGCAGAGCCGGACGGUGGAGCCAGCUUGCUGGGUCCUGAAGCUGGGCCCUCAGGACUGCGUCUCCGGUGACAGCGCAGACGGCUGUGAUGAUGGGGCAUGCCGCGUCUCUGCUGGCCAGGGAGCCGCUCGUGGCCGCAGAGCACGCGGAUGGCGGCUUGUGGAACUCGAGUGGCGAGGGAGCUUAACUGUUCAUUUACUUCGCUUUNNNNNNNNNNNNNNNNNNNNNNNNNNNNNNNNNNNNNNNNNNNNNNNNNNNNNNNNNNNNNNNNNNNNNNNNNNNNNNNNNNNNNNNNNNNNNNNNNNNAGUUAACUUUAAGCGGCCACGCGUGGCUAGCGGCCCCCGAGCAGGACGGCGCGGGCCUAAGCUCCGGCACUAUGGGAGAAGCAUCUCAACUCCAGUUUUGCUGCCAGGAGUGAGCAGUCACCCCGGGGGGUGAGGGGCACGUGUCAGCCCUGGGGUAAUGCUUUCUGUCAGCAGGAAGUCAAGGCCAAGAUGGGCCAGGGCUGGUCUGGAGGGAGCCACCUGAGCCCUGGUCCCUAACAGCCAUCCUGAGUCACCGCCUUCUUAACCUGGAGACGGCCUCACAGCGCUGCGUCCAGCCACUCGGAUAAGCUCAGACGGAAUCAAACCAUUCCAGCUGAACCCAACACGGGAGUUUGGCCUGAGAGUUUGUUUUGACAGAAAGACUCACGGACUUAGAGAAUUAACUUACGUGUGAGCUCACCCGAAACUAUGGCAGCAUUGUUAACGGGCUCUACCCCGACGCAGAAUAAGAAGUUUAAAAACAGUUUGUGCUGAGUGGUAACCAUGACGACGAGCGACCUGGAAGCUCACGCUAGGCGCUGCUUGCUGUGCGUCACCGAUGUCCGUUCCUCUCGUUUCGCAGGAAUGCAUGUGAGGCAGGCAGUGUGGUCCUCACUCUAAGGUGGGAAACUGAGCCUCUUGAUGUCUUAAUGGCUCCACGCGGCUCAUCCGAGGGAGCUGGGACCUGCAGCCUGGGCUGUCCGCCCGCAGAGUCUGCGUUCUUCCCACCAGGCCUUCACCAACGGCGCAGCUUCGCUGUCACAAGGCCACUGAGUCUGCUCGACUACUCUCCCGCCCAUGGUUUCAGAAAGAGAGAAAGAGCACUCAGCAUAGACAGAGUCAGAGACACAAGUUCAAGUCUUCGUCCUGGAGAAAUCGUAACACCCAGCACCAAGGCGUCUCCACUACAGGACACGGGAGAAGGCCCUGGGUAAUUUCGAAAGGUGACGUCGAGAACGGAUGUGGGUAUUUGCGGGUGAAGGCAGACGGCUUUAGAAUGGAUCUGGAAAUAUUUUAUGACAUACUAAAAGCCACGGUGGGGGUGGAAAUAUGAGCCUGUUUUGCACAUUACCAAACACAGUGAACUUAUUUUUUCAUCUCAUUUCAUUUUAAGUAAGUUAAAUAGCUACAUGUGAUUAGUAGCCCCUGAACAGGACAGCAUAGGUCUGAGCCACUGGCUCCACUGGAGAUGCUGGUCUGGACUCGGGCUUCUGUUGAGCAGCUGCCAAGCCACCAGUCCUGGCUUCCUGGGUGGAGAAGCGGGGCUCUGACAGUCACCUUCACGCCCACCCUGACUGUCCCAGGGAAGCAGAGAGACCAGGAGCCCCUAAGGAGGGAAGAGGCCGGUGCCUGUGGCUGGACAGGCCUUCCCAGGCUUGGCUACAGACCACCCCCCUGCCCUGCACGCUGGAGUAUCUCCUCUGCACCCAGGCCUCUGCAGAAUGCUUGAGGACAAGUGCAUGUCCUAUUAUGACCGUCUUACAGGUGAGAAAAGUGAGGUUCAGAAUAGGCAGUUAGCUUGCCCCAGAUCACCUGACCAGCAAGCGCCAGAGCUGCCAUCUACCUGCAAAGUCUUGUCCUGGACCCCAGCUCUGCUGCCCUCACACCAGGCGGGGGGAGGGAAGACACCCCCCGCCCCAGGCGAGGGAAGCAAGUGGGCAUGGCAGGAGAUGAGGCUGGGGGCCUCCACCUGCCCUGGCCCUUCUGGCUGCCGGCCACGGCCAUGCCCCACCCACCCUGCGCCCACCCAGGGCCACCCCUCCCCGCUGCUGCCUGGCAGGAAAAUCUGAUUCUCCCUGCGGGCAAACACUCCUCCUGGGGCCUCCCCAAAGGUUUCAGAUAAUGAAAGAGCCAUAAAGAAGCAAUAAGAGGCCAAUUAUCUCACCCUUAUCUGAGCUUCCUGCAUGUCUAAUGCCUCUCAGCUUGCAGGUGCAGAAAGGCCAGCUACUAAGACGACACCGUCUUACAAGGUGAGGCCACUGUCACCUGCAGGCCAAGGAGAGGAGCCAAGUCCACAGAGAGAAACCGAGGAGGAAGGCUGGGCAGAAAGGAGGAGGCGGGACGGGUAAGAGCCGUCUCCCAGGCCCCUGAUGGCAGCGUUCAGACUUAGGAGGACACCGCGGAGCUCAAGGCACCUUCUGAGCCCAUCUCCUCUCUCUCCAGGGACAAGCCCGGGACGAGGGGAGUGAGUGUCCUGUGACAGCAGGGACCUGCUUUGUCCUGGCCACCCCGUUCCGUCAGCCCCUUCGCUCAGGGGACACUCAGUGAUGACGGAUGCCCCUGCCCCCCCAGCCUAUUUUAUGCAUUUAUUUAUUAUUUUUAAAAUCUAUCUGGCUGCACCAGGCCUUAAUUGGGGCACCGGGCAUUGAAGAUCUUUAGUUGUGGCAUGGGGCUCUAGUUCCCUGACCAGGGAUGGAACCCAGGCCCCCUGCAUUAACCAGGCUUACCCACUGGACCA
rnacentral:lncRNA from 1 species